AUGAAUAACACCCAAUUCUCCCUUAUGUCCUGGAAUGUUAGGGGUCUGAACUCACCAGCGAGGAGAGCUGCGGUCUGUGAACUAGCUACAUCACAUAAAAAUUCAAUCCUCUGCCUGCAAGAGACGAAGCUGGAAUCCUGGUCGCCUAGCAUUGUGCAUGAACUGGGAAAACGGGUGGUGGAUGGUUGUGCGGUCCUGCUAGCCGUGGGCACUAGAGGAGGCGUGGCGAUCCUCUAG
rnacentral:rRNA from 1 species